GAGGUGCUUGCACCUUAUCUUAGCGGCGGACGGGUGAGUAAUGCUUAGGAAUCUGCCUAUUAGUGGGGGACAACAUUCCGAAAGGAAUGCUAAUACCGCAUACGUCCUACGGGAGAAAGCAGGGGAUCUUCGGACCUUGCGCUAAUAGAUGAGCCUAAGUCGGAUUAGCUAGUUGGUGGGGUAAAGGCCUACCAAGGCGACGAUCUGUAGCGGGUCUGAGAGGAUGAUCCGCCACACUGGGACUGAGACACGGCCCAGACUCCUACGGGAGGCAGCAGUGGGGAAUAUUGGACAAUGGGGGGAACCCUGAUCCAGCCAUGCCGCGUGUGUGAAGAAGGCCUUAUGGUUGUAAAGCACUUUAAGCGAGGAGGAGGCUACUGAGACUAAUACUCUUGGAUAGUGGACGUUACUCGCAGAAUAAGCACCGGCUAACUCUGUGCCAGCAGCCGCGGUAAUACAGAGGGUGCGAGCGUUAAUCGGAUUUACUGGGCGUAAAGCGUGCGUAGGCGGCUUUUUAAGUCGGAUGUGAAAUCCCCGAGCUUAACUUGGGAAUUGCAUUCGAUACUGGGAAGCUAGAGUAUGGGAGAGGAUGGGUAGAAUUCC
rnacentral:rRNA from 1 species